UCUUAUGAAAGUGCCUAAAUCCUAAAGUAUCUUAAAAUGGACUUGAGACCUUGGAAAUUUAAUAAGUGGACUUGUGGGCUUAUGAAGUUUACAUAAUGGAUCUAAGACUAAUUUUCUAUAUCUUCAAUAUGUUCUUAAAAGCUGCAAAUGCUUGAUAUGAAGUGGAUGAAAGACUUACAAGCUCAUUAUUUGGAUUACUUGUUGCAGAAACCCAGAUUUGCUAUUUGUAAAUUGCUGUCAGGGGUGUCCAACAACAUUGCAGAGGAAGCUUACUGUUGUGCCAUGGAAGAAAAGUUCCGUGAGUUGGCUGCAUUGCUGAUUGUGGCACGUGAAAAUGUUUUACUUCCCAUCACAUUUCACAAAACAGAUGGUUCUGGUUUAAGUGGAAGAAUGACGAUCCCCUAAUGCAUUAGAAAUCAAGUUUUUUCACUGAUUGAUGAGGAGGCUGAGUUAAAGAGUAAUUAUAAACUUAAAAAGUUAACUCAGAUUCAGGAAAAGAUGGCGACUAUGAUGUCUACGGCACUGUUGCUUGAAAUUUUUGAGAGAGCUGGUCAUACCAUCGAGGAAUAUCUGCAGUCGCAACAGCCUGAUGUACAGACGGACCACGUGGAGAGAGAUGUUGCUUCGAUGCUUAAGGAAGCAGGAUUUAUAUUGAAGUUUUGAGACUUCGAUUUUAAAAUUAGCAACUGGUUUGGAAGUUUUUGGAUACUUUUUUCCUGGAUUGUUUUUCUUCUUUUCUUUAUACACAUUCGUUUUUGCGAUAUCUCUUGGGCUUUCUGAAUAAGUUAACCUCCUUGAAUGACCGAAUAAGUCCCGAAUACCUUUUUUUUUUCCUUUUUUUUCGUGACAGGUUGAAUCGUUGCGAUCCCAUGACGACUCCUACCAAGUGCUUAGAGACUUCCUCAGAGAGAUCUUUAUCACUACCCAGUCAUCACUCGCCCUUGAUGCAGCAAACAAAGGUGGUUUUGCCCCCAAGGGUAAGGAAAUGUAUAGUUAUUAUGUUCUUUGCUGCUAUUAGAUUGGUCCUAUGUAUUGCUAGGAAUCUUGUUUCUCUGAUGCUUUGCAAUAUUUAAAAAAGAGACAAGAGAGAGGGAGAGGUAGGAGGGAGGGAGGUAGAUUAUCUGCAGCAGGGAUCUUAUUAUUUGAAAGGAGCAUAAACAAUACUUUCAAAGGAGUAAUUUAUUAAUGUUGGUAACGCAAAGCAAAGUGGUUUGAUGCUGUCCUGUAUUCUAAUAGUAUAGGCUUUUAUUGGCGCAUUCCUAUUAUAAUUCUUGAAUUUUUGUUGUUUCUUGCCUGAGCAGAAAGAUAUACCUAGUGGUGGACGUUGGCCGCGAUCCAUAACUUCCCCUUUUGACCCAACCCAUGCUUUGUCCUCUAUGGAGAAUAUAAAUCAAGUCCCAAAUUUUGCCUUGGGUUCUCGUUAUACAACCAGUUUUGAUGUGCCAGUGAAGAAGCAAACUAAAGCAAAGAGGAAUGUGCCCACAUGUCAGUCAAGGGAGAACGUUGCACGUGUUGCAAUGUUGCUCGAGAGGGGUGUAAGAGGUUAUUGACCCUUGUAGGUGCACGUUUUACAACCAGUUUUGAUGUGCCAGUGAGAAUUGAGUAAAGAGCGAACGGAGAUUCAAAUACAGAUUGGGAGACAUAGAUAUGCCCGGAGUUGGUGAGGCGAUACACAUGGAUUUUCAUGAAUGCACAGUGAGACUCAUAUGUAUCGGACAGUUUCGGAUUUCUUUAUAUUUAUAAAAUUUUAUUCAACCCCCCAU